AAAACUCAUAUCGUCAGCUUCCUUUGGAAAACAAAUGAUUUGGCAACAGUGGACCUUCCUUCCAAACAGCAUGAAGCAACACGCACAGAAUAGAAACUGCCCACGCCCCGCCCCCACCUGCCGACCCACUCCUGACAAGGGACAGAAAGCCCCCCAGUGGAUCAGCAAGACUUCAAUAAUACAACCCAGUGCUCACCCAGUAGGCCUUAUUCAUCAUCCGACCUGCCUGAUUCCUGAAAGUAAUUGACGCUGGGACCCUCAGUGCAGAGUCGCAGGCGUGUAAGGAGAGGGAUGGACAGCUCCGAGGUUGGAGUUCAGCGCAGCUGUGAAAACAGGCUGUCCCCGCAGCUUCGCCCAGCUCUUUGGCACAAAGAGGCCUUCCAGCAGCUUUGAGCAAAGGAAGCGCGACUCUGAAAUGCAGAAAGCAAAGCUAAAAGCUGCUCUUGUAUGACCUCAUAGCCAACCAAGUCUUCCUUCCUUUCUUUGAAGUUGGGUGAGAUUGGAGUCAUGUGGGCUUAAGGGGGGAAAUAAAAUCUCUAAAGAAGAUUUUGUUGUGCACCACGAUCUCCACCUCACAGGGCCUGCUGACUGCAAGCAGACUUAAAACACAGAAACAGCCAAAGGGUCUGCUGACAGAUGAAUGGAAAAAGAAAUUGUGGUCAUAUUUACAUGCAUAAUGUAGUAUUCUCCCAUCUUUUAAAAGGAGAUUUACUGUUUACAGCAGUAGAGAAGAACUUGGAAGGUAUUAUACAUGUCACUAUGUAUAUCAAAACAACUUGUUGUGCGUACUUUAAAAAUACACAAUUACAUAAAAGUCCGAGCAGGAUUUCACAAUCUAAAAC
rnacentral:lncRNA from 1 species